rnacentral:rRNA from 1 species
CCUACGGGGGGCUGCAGUGGGGAAUAUUGGACAAUGGGGGGAACCCUGAUCCAGCCAUGCCGCGUGUGUGAAGAAGGCCCUCGGGUUGUAAAGCACUUUCAGUGAGGAAGAACGCCUGGUGGUUAAUACCCAUCAGGAAAGACAUCACUCACAGAAGAAGCACCGGCUAACUCCGUGCCAGCAGCCGCGGUAAUACGGAGGGUGCGAGCGUUAAUCGGAAUUACUGGGCGUAAAGCGCGCGUAGGUGGCUUGAUAAGCCGGUUGUGAAAGCCCCGGGCUCAACCUGGGAACGGCAUCCGGAACUGUCAAGCUAGAGUGCAGGAGAGGAAGGUAGAAUUCACGGUGUAGCGGUGAAAUGCGUAGAGAUCGGGAGGAAUACCAGUGGCGAAGGCGGCCUUCUGGACUGACACUGACACUGAGGUGCGAAAGCGUGGGUAGCAAACAGGAUUAGAUACCCCAGUAGUC